rnacentral:rRNA from 1 species
GCCGGCGCUGCCUAUACAUGCAGUCGACGCUUCUUUUUACCCCGUAGCUUGCUCCCCGGCAAAUGGAGGAAUGGCGAACGGGUGAGUAACACGUGGGUAACCUGACCAUCAUAAGGGGAUAACACUUGGACUCAGGUGCUAAUACCGCAUAACAAUCNAAACCGCAUGGUUUUGAUUUCAAAGGCGCUUACGGGUGUCGCUGAUGGAUGGACCCGCGGUGCAUUAGCUAUUUGGUGAGGUAACGGCUCACCAAGGCCACAAUGCAUAACCGACCUGAUAGGGUGAUCGGCCACAUUGGGACUGAAACGCGGCCCAAACUCCUACGGGAUGCACCAUGAGGGAAUCUUCGGCGAUGGACUACAGUCUGACCGAACAACGCCUCGUGAUUGAAGAAUGUUUUCGGAUCGUAGGACUCUGUUGUUAUAGAAGAACAAGGAUGAUAGUAACUGUUCAUCCCUUGACGGUAUCUAACCACAAAGCCACGGCUAACUACGUGCCAGCAGCCGCGGUAAUACGUAGGUGGCAAGCGUUGUCCGGAUUUAUUGGGCGUAAAGCGAGCGCAGGCGGUUUCUUAAGUCUGAUGUGAAAGCCCCCGGCUCAACCGGGGAGGGUCAUUGGAAACUGGGAGACUUGAGUGCAAAGAGGAGAGUGGAAUUCCAUGUGUAGCGGUGAAAUGCGUAGAUAUAUGGAGGAACACCAGUGGCGAAGGCGGCUCUUGGUCUGUAAUGACGCUGAGGCUCGAAGCGUGGGGAGCAACAGGAUUAGAUACCCUGGUAUCCACGCCGUAACGAUGAGUGCUAGUGUUGGAGGGUUCCGCCCUUCAUGCUGCCCUAACGCAUUAAGCACUCCCCCGGGGAGUACGACCGCAGGUUGAACUCAAGGAAUUGACGGGGGCCCGCACAAGCGGUGGAGCAUGUGGUUUAAUUCGAAGCAACGCGAAGAACCUUACCAGGUCUUGACAUCCUUUGACCACUCUAGAGAUAGAGCUUCCCCUUCGGGGGCAAAGUGACAGGUGGUGCAUGGUUGUCGUCAGCUCGUGUCGUGAGAUGUUGGGUUAAGUCCCGCAACGAGCGCAACCCUUAUUGUUAGUUGCCAUCAUUCAGUUGGGCACUCUAGCAAGACUGCGGUACAACCGAGAAAGUGGGAGACUCAAUCUCUGCCCUAUACUGGCUACACUGCUCAUGGAAUCACAAUUCGAUCCCAGCUAGCAACCUAAACUCCCCAUUCGAUGCGCUCAUCCCUGUGAACGGAUCCUUAACCGAAACCCCCGUGAAAGUUCCGCCUUACCCCCUCCCCCCAGUUGAACCCAUCGAGAACUUGACCGCCAGGGGAUUAUGGAGUAAGGCGAGCUGCUACCAGGGGCGGAAAAAAUUAAGAUAGAAGAAGAGGUUAGAGAAACGACGCUACUAGAAAGUAGCAGAUUGAUGACUAGCUGAUG